rnacentral:rRNA from 1 species
AGAGCGAACGCUGGCGGCAGGCCUAACACAUGCAAGUCGAACGGACCCUUCGGGGUUAGUGGCGGACGGGUGAGUAACACGUGGGAACGUGCCUUUUGGUUCGGAAUAGCUCCUGGAAACGGGUGGUAAUGCCGAGUGUGCCCUUCGGGGGAAAGAUUUAUCGCCAUUAGAGCGGCCCGCGUCUGAUUAGCUAGUUGGUGAGGUAAAGGCUCACCAAGGCGACGAUCAGUAGCUGGUCUGAGAGGAUGACCAGCCACAUUGGGACUGAGACACGGCCCAAACUCCUACGGGAGGCAGCAGUGGGGAAUCUUGCGCAAUGGGCGAAAGCCUGACGCAAGCCAUG